AACGAACGCUGGCGGCGCGCCUAAUACAUGCAAGUCGAGCGAGAAGACGUAGCAAUACGUUUGUAAAGCGGCGAACGGGUGAGGAAUACAUGGGUAACCUACCCUAGAGUGGGGAAUAACUAGCCGAAAGGUUAGCUAAUACCGCGUACGCUCCUUGGACUUCGGUUCAGGGAGGAAAGCGAUGCCGAGGGUAUCGCGCUCUUGGAUGGGCUCAUGUCCUAUCAGCUUGUUGGUGAGGUAACGGCUCACCAAGGCUUCGACGGGUAGCUGGUCUGAGAGGACGAUCAGCCACACUGGCACUGCGACACGGGCCAGACUCCUACGGGAGGCAGCAGUAAGGAAUAUUGCGCAAUGGGCGAAAGCCUGACGC
rnacentral:rRNA from 1 species